UACGUAAGGGGCGAGCGUUGUUCGGAUUUCUUGGGCGUAAAGGGCGUGUAGGCGGUUCUGUAAGCUUGGUGUGAAAGGCUAAGGCUUAACUUUAGGAUUGCGCUGAGAACUGCAGGGCUUGAGUGUAGGAGGGGGAUACGGAAUUCCUGGUGAAGGGGUGAAAUCUGUAGAUAUCAGGAAGAACACCGGUGGCGAAGGCGGUAUCCUGGCCAUACACUGACGCUGAGGCGCGAAAGCGUGGGGAGCGAACAGG
rnacentral:rRNA from 1 species